AACCGGAUGCAGAUGGAUUGUUCAGCAGCGAACAUGUGAGAUGGAUAAAUGCUGAAUUUCAUCGGAUCACAACCCUUCAUUUACAGUCCAAAAUUCCUGUCCAAACUGGAUCUGCUCUCUGAUCUGCUAAAAGUGUUUACCAAAAAGGGUGGAGUGUUUAGAAAAAAGAUUCAAGAUGUGAUCGUGCCAAUGUCUCAGACCAAGCAAGAGUGCAGUCUCAAGGUGCUAUGCAUCUACCUGAAUGAAGAUGAUGAUGA